CGCCCACGGAGAGGAGUGUUGGUGCCUUGGUGGUGGUGUUUAUUAUUAUUAUUAUUAUUUAUUAUUAUCUCUGAAACGAAAAGGAGCUGUCUUGGUGAUGAGUACCGCGUGGCCUUUUACUACUCUACAACUUGCUUUUGCAAGUUUUCAUACUUUGCCUGUCAAAUUAUCCAAAACUCCGUUGACAGCAUGCUCGGAGAUCCGCGUCUCGGUUUUUUACCGAUUUAUCGGAUGUUUCCCGAGGGGGAAAAUAAAUAUCCGGCGUUUUUUUUAAGGAAUCGAGUACAGCUUGGAGCUUGCUGUUUCUUUUUCCUUCUCUCUCUCUGUUUUUUUUUUGAGGAUAUGCCCUCGUAGAACAUUAAUGUGUUUGUCACCUUGUCUUGUAAGAAAAUAAGUUUGUUCCGAGAAUAGAAUAACACCAGGUUAACCAGAGUUUUAUAUAUAGAAUAUUAUCUAUUCUCCUUU